AUAAAUUUAAGACUUUUUAAUGAAUAGGCAUGCUGACAUUGAGAAAGAAAAAAAUUUAAUUGGACAAAUAUAAUAAAAUGCUUUGCACAUUUCAGGUACAGUACUGGUAUCCUUAAAAUGCAGCAUUUAAAUAAUAAAUGUACUAAUCAAAUGGAAAAAAAAAAACGUGCUCAGACCACCUUUCGAGAUGGUCUCAGUUUGGUUCGCUUCUGAGGGGUCUGUGAUUGUUUGGAGUGUUUACAUAUGGGCCAAAAGUCAUGCGAACCGUGCCCAGACCCCUGAAAAGGACCAAGUGUGAAAACAUCUCAAUCUUGCAGCCUACAAAACAUUGGAAAUUGUGACGGGACGAGCCAACGACAGACACAGUGGGCGUGGCGUCAGGCCUCGGAGAGGUUUUUAUUUAACAGAAAAAAACAAAAAGAGAGGGAAUAAAGUGUCCAAAAGGGGAACAGUGUCCAAAACAACAGGGAAUCUGGUGUCCUCGUCGUGCUGCGGGGUACGUGGGGGUCUGGCAGUGUUCAUGGAGGAAGGGUCCAGGUAAGGGGCGGAGUCCGGCGGCCGCACGCGCUCCCCUCUUCGGUCCGGGGCGCGAGGGGCGGCGGCUUCUUCUAGCGGCUUCAUCCUCCUCGCUGGCCGCGGCGCUUGCAGGGGAUGGACGGCCCGGCAUCCUGGCCCGACGGCCGUGUAGACGGGUGCGGUUCUCGACCGGACCGCGGGUCCGGCAGCUCACGUCUCUGGUGGCGCGGGAGUCCCUCAACGCACCCUUCCUGGACCCACGAGGACACCAGUGUGCAUGCACGGGGAAGAGACCGGUCUCCCGAGGAGAGGCGCGUUGGGCUUUUAAACAGCGGCGGUGAUGAGGCUCCAUUUCCUUCAGGUGUGCCCCAUCACACGCCGCCAGCCCUGACUCGUCCAGCGCCCCUCCUCUCUCCCACACCCACUCCUAUCGGGAGCCUGGUGAAGGGCGGCGAUUUAGGACGGGGUGCCGGUGAUUAUCAGGGAGGAGGCAGCUGACUCGCCACAAAAUAUAUUGAACAAUUUGUACCACACAGCCUCAUUUUAUUCACAUUCAAUUAAAUAUGUCAUUUCUAACUUUAAGCAUUCUUCAGACAAGCACAUAUAUUACAUAUAAUAAGCUGGCGGAGCAAAUGUGAGAUGAAGUUCAGACCUCCUGUUGUCCUUUAAAGGUGAUAUUCACAACAGCAGACCUGCCUUCUAUUAGGAGAUGUAUUGUGAAAAACAGCAGAGUCACCCCUGUAAUUCAGCCCUGUUUCUCCUAUUUCCUGUGUGCCACAGAUCAACACUAAAGGAAGUUCCUGUUCAAAAUACCAGCCCUUUAUCAUUUCCCUAUUUGAAAUGGUUUGUAUAUUAUGGUAUAAUAGAUGGCCUCUGUCCAAAGAGUUUGCUAUUGAAAAGGUCCUGUCAUUUCUGUUCCCUGCAUAUCAAAAAGGGCUAUUUGUCUUUCAGUGAGUCACCCAUCUAUGGUGCCCUAAGGGAACAAUGUUUUCCGGCGUGUGUAAGCAGUUUCCACCUCUUUCUUUCAAGAGAACUGUGUUGAUGGAGGGGCAAGAAGGUGCACAAACUGAGGUGAAUAACAAACUGUAUCAUUUAUAAGUUCAAACAUCGUAUCUUCCUGGUUUGGAUGCUGUCUUUCCAUUUAAAGCUGUGCAGGCUUCCUAAAAUUUCAUCCUUCAGUGAAUUAUUGAUGUUUUCUCUCCUCCUCCUUCCAGACUCUGUUGAGAAUAUAUCCUGCUGUUAUCAGUUCCAUAUUCUGAGAGCCUCUAGUGAUUUUGAAUAUCGAUUAUGCUUUUGUGAAGGACAGCAAUAAGUGGCCUUUAAAUGGCAUGAUGGGAGACGAUGCCCGUGUUAUUAGCAGACAGGGCUCCUGUUGGGGCCGGGACUGGAGUCUUCCAGCUCUCUUAUUAAAGACUGUGCCCGUCUUCUUCCACACCGCCCCUGAAUCUCUCUGUAAAUAUCAGUAAUUUAACUCUCCUGUCACAGCAGAUAUGCAUUGCUGCUUUUGGAGAUCGAUCAGUUUUGGCUUUUUGACUGUGAUCUUCAGUAUCUG
rnacentral:lncRNA from 1 species